rnacentral:rRNA from 1 species
GAUACCCUGGUAGUCCACGCAGUAAACGAUGAAUGCUAAUUGUCCGUUGCGAGUGAGCGAUGGGUGAUACAGCGAAAGCGUUAAGCAUUCCACCUGGGGAGUACGCCGGCAACGGUGAAACUCAAAGGAAUUGACGGGGGCCCGCACAAGCGGAGGAACAUGUGGUUUAAUUCGAUGAUACGCGAGGAACCUUACCCGGGCUCAAACGCCGUCUGACGUAGGCUGAAAGGCUUAUUUCUUCGGACAGACGGCGAGGUGCUGCAUGGUUGUCGUCAGCUCGUGCCGUGAGGUGUCGGCUUAAGUGCCAUAACGAGCGCAACCCCUGUCGACAGUUGCUAACAGGUUAAGCUGAGGACUCUGUCGAGACUGCCGGCGCAAGCUGUGAGGAAGGCGGGGAUGACGUCAAAUCAGCACGGCCCUUACGUCCGGGGCGACACACGUGUUACAAUGGCAGGUACAGCGGGAAGCCACCCGGCGACGGGGCGCGGAACCCGAAAACCUGUCUCAGUUCGGAUUGGAGUCUGCAACCCGACUCCAUGAAGCUGGAUUCGCUAGUAAUCGCGCAUCAGCCACGGCGCGGUGAAUACGUUCCCGGGCCUUGUACACACCGCCCGUCAAGCCAUGGAAGCCGGGAGUGCCUGAAGUGUGCAACCGCAAGGAGCGCCCUAAGGUAAAACCGGUGACUGGGGCUAAGUCGUAACAAGGU